rnacentral:RNase_P_RNA from 1 species
GCCGUGUGUAGGAAAGUCCGGACAGCACAGGACAGCCCGCUGCUUGUUAAAGGCAGGCUUUUAAUCGGCAACGAUUAAAUGACGGCAAGUGCAACAGAAAGUAAACCGGCCCCGAUUUUUCGGGGUAAAGGGUGAAAUGGUGAGGUAAGAGCUCACCGGCUUUGUAAGUGAUUGCAAAGGCCGGGCAAACCCCGGGCGCUGAAAGGCCGCGUAAACUUUGGCUUGAGGGUUGUUCGCCCGAUCAAAGAGGGUAGGCCGAAUAGAUAAAUGAUGGCUCGCGACAGAAUCCGGCUUAUCGAACAAUU